rnacentral:rRNA from 1 species
CAGUCGCCGCGGGAAUACGGAGGGGGCUAGCGUUGUUCGGAAUUACUGGGCGUAAAGCGCACGUAGGCGGCUUGGUAAGUUAGGGGUGAAAGCCUGGAGCUCAACUCCAGAAUUGCCUUUAAGACUGCCGAGCUAGCAGGUGAGAGAGGUAAGUGGAAUCCCGAGUGUAGAGGUGAAGUUCGUAGAUAUUCGGAAGAACACCAGUGGCGAAGGCGGCUUACUGGCUCAUACUGGACGCUGAGGUGCGAAAGCGUGGGGAGCAAACAGGAUUAGAGACCCCGGUAGUCCCUGUCUCUUAUAA